UACGGAGGGUGCAAGCGUUAUCCGGAUUCACUGGGUUUAAAGGGUGCGUAGGUGGGUCUGUAAGUCAGUGGUGAAAUCUCCAAGCUUAACUUGGAAACUGCCGUUGAUACUAUAGACCUUGAAUGCUGUGGAGGUGAGCGGAAUAUGUCGUGUAGCGGUGAAAUGCUUAGAUAUGACAUAGAACACCAAUUGCGAAGGCAGCUCACUACCCAGAUAUUGACACUGAGGCACGAAAGCGUGGGGAGCGAACAGG
rnacentral:rRNA from 1 species